rnacentral:rRNA from 1 species
AUUGAACGCUGGCGGCAUGCUUUACACAUGCAAGUCGAACGGUAACAGGCCGCAAGGUGCUGACGAGUGGCGAACGGGUGAGUAAUGCAUCGGAACGUGCCCAGUCGUGGGGGAUAACGCAGCGAAAGCUGCGCUAAUACCGCAUACGAUCUCUGGAUGAAAGCGGGGGACCGAAAGGCCUCGCGCGAUUGGAGCGGCCGAUGUCAGAUUAGGUAGUUGAUGGGGUAAAGGCCCACCAAGCCAACGAUCUGUAGCUGGUCUGGGAGGUCGACCAGCCACGCGGGGACUGGGACACGGCGCAGACUGCUACGGGAGGCAGAAGGGGGGAAUUUUGGACAAUGGGCUCAAGCCUGAUCCAGCAAGGACGCGAGCAGGAAGAAGGCCUUCGGGUUGUAAACUGUUGUUGUACGGAGCGAAACGGUUCGGGUUAAUUCCCUGGGCUAAGGACGGUACCGUAAGAAUAAGCACCGGCUAACUACGUGCCAGCAGCCGCCGUAACAC